rnacentral:rRNA from 1 species
AUCCUGCCAGUAGUCAUAUGCUUGUCUCAAAGAUUAAGCCAUGCAAGUGUAAGUAUAAUUGUUUUACGGUGAAACUGCGAAUGGCUCAUUAAAUCAGUUAUAGUUUAUUUGAUGCUAUAGGCCGAAAGGUCACUACAUGGAUAUCUGUAGUAACAUAGAGCUAAUACAUGCAAUAUAGUCUGACUUUUUGGAAGGACUAGCACUUAUUAGAUAUUAAACCAGUCCCAGCAAUGGGUUUUAUGGUGAUUCAUAGUAACUGAACAAAUCACAUGGUCUCGUACCGGUGAUGUUUCAUUCAAAUUUCUGCCCUAUCAACUAGAUGGUAGUAUAUAGGACUACCAUGGUUGUAACGGGUAACGGAGGAUUAGGGUUUGAUUCCGGAGAAGGAGCAUGAGAAACGGCUACUAUUUCUAAGGAAAGCAGCAGGCGA